UACAGAGGGGGCAAGCGUUAUUCGGAAUUAUUGGGCGUAAAGGGCGCGUAGGCGGCUUGGCAAGUGGAUGGUGAAAUCCCUCGGCUUAACCGAGGAACUGCCGUCCAAACUGCUUGGCUUGAGACCGGGAGAGGUGAGUGGAAUUCCCAGUGUAGCGGUGAAAUGCGUAGAUAUUGGGAGGAACACCAGUGGCGAAGGCGGACUCACUGGACCGGUACUGACGCUGAGACGCGGAAAGCGUG
rnacentral:rRNA from 1 species